GACGAACGCUGGCGGCGUGCUUAACACAUGCAAGUCGAACGGAAAGGCCCUGCUUUUGUGGGGUGCUCGAGUGGCGAACGGGUGAGUAACACGUGAGUAACCUGCCCUUGACUUUGGGAUAACUUCAGGAAACUGGGGCUAAUACCGGAUAGGAGCUCCUGCUGCAUGGUGGGGGUUGGAAAGUUUCGGCGGUUGGGGAUGGACUCGCGGCUUAUCAGCUUGUUGGUGGGGUAGUGGCUUACCAAGGCUUUGACGGGUAGCCGGCCUGAGAGGGUGACCGGGCACAUUAGGCCUGAGAUACGGCCCAGAAUCCUACGGGAGGCAGCAGUGGAGAGUAUUGCACAAUGGGGGGAAGCGUGAUGUAGCAAUGUCGCGUGCGGGAUGACGGGCUUCGGGUUGUAAACCGCUUUCGCCUGUGACGAAGCGUGAGUGACGGUAAUGGGUAAAGAAGCACCGGCUAACUACGUG
rnacentral:rRNA from 1 species